GACGAACGCUGGCGGCGUGCCUAAUACAUGCAAGUAGAACGCACAGUUUAUACCGUAGCUUGCUACACCAUAAACUGUGAGUUGCGAACGGGUGAGUAACGCGUAGGUAACCUGCCUGGUAGCGGGGGAUAACUAUUGGAAACGAUAGCUAAUACCGCAUAAUAUUGAUUAUUGCAUGAUAAUUGAUUGAAAGAUGCUAUUGCAUCACUACCAGAUGGACCUGCGUUGUAUUAGCUAGUAGGUGAGGUAACGGCUCACCUAGGCGACGAUACAUAGCCGACCUGAGAGGGUGAUCGGCCACACUGGGACUGAGACACGGCCCAGACUCCUACGGGAGGCAGCAGUAGGGAAUCUUCGGCAAUGGACGAAAGUCUGACCGAGCAACGCCGCGUGAGUGAAGAAGGUUUUCGGAUCGUAAAGCUCUGUUGUAAGAGAAGAACGGGUGUGAGGGUGGAAAGUUCACACUGUGACGGUAUCUUACCAGAAAGAGACGGCUAACUACGUG
rnacentral:rRNA from 1 species